rnacentral:rRNA from 1 species
UACGUAGGUGGCAAGCGUUACUCGGAAUCACUAGGCGUGAAGCGCAGGUAGGCGGUUGGAUAAGUUUCUUGUGAAAGCUCCUGGCUUAACUGGGAGAGGUCAAGGAAUACUGUCUGACUUGAGUGUGGUAGGGGUAACUGGAAUUCCCGGUGUAGCGGUGAAAUGCGUAGAUAUCGGGAGGAAUACCUAUGGCGAAGGCAGGUUACUGGGCCAUCACUGACGCUGAGCUGCGAAAGCUAGGGGAGCAAACAGG